AGUAAAAGGAGAAAGCCCAACCCCAGCUGCUGCAGUGGAAGCGGCCUCCAUUGACAGAUUUGAUAAUGUGGGCUACAUUAGUGGACAAGUGCAGCCAGAAGUAGUUGCGUUCCCUGCUGCUCCCACCCCUCAGUUCUCUGCGCCCUACCCCUCUACUACUGCGCCUUACCUGCCUGUAGACGCUGCCAGUCACUGCUUAUGGAGCGGCUAAAGGCACUGUUGAUUCUGCCCCUGUCACAGAGGUCCCAGGUUGCCUCUCAGGGACUGGAGCAAACUGAUGAUGUGCAGCAAAUUCCACAACAGAUUCACAUUCAACAGCAGCUCAAACUGCAUUUUCACCCACAAGGUA